rnacentral:rRNA from 1 species
ACGAACGCUGGCGGCGUGCUUAACACAUGCAAGUCGAACGGAAAGACCCUGCUUUUGUGGGGUGCUCGAGCGGCGAACGGGUGAGUAACACGUGAGUAACCUGCCCUUGACUUUAGGAUAACUUCAGGAAACUGGGGCUAAUACCGGAUAGGAGCUCCUGCUGCAUGGUGGGGGUUGGAAAGUUUCGGCGGUUGGGGAUGGACUCGCGGCUUAUCAGCUUGUUGGUGGGGUAGUGGCUUACCAAGGCUUUGACGGGUAGCCGGCCUGAGAGGGUGACCGGCCACAUUGGGACUGAGAUACGGCCCAGACUCCUACGGGAGGCAGCAGUGGGGAAUAUUGCACAAUGGGCGGAAGCCUGAUGCAGCAACGCCGCGUGCGGGAUGACGGCCUUCGGGUUGUAAACCGCUUUCGCCUGUGACGAAGCGUGAGUGACGGUAAUGGGUAAAGAAGCACCGGCUAACUACGUG